rnacentral:rRNA from 1 species
UGGGGAAUAUUGCACAAUGGGCGCAAGCCUGAUGCAGCGACGCCGCGUGAGCGAUGAAGUAUUUCGGUAUGUAAAGCUCUAUCAGCAGGGAAGAUAAUGACGGUACCUGACUAAGAAGCACCGGCUAAAUACGUGCCAGCAGCCGCGGUAAUACGUAUGGUGCAAGCGUUAUCCGGAUUUACUGGGUGUAAAGGGAGCGUAGGUGGUUUGGUAAGUCAGAUGUGAAAGCCCGGGGCUCAACCCCGGUACUGCAUUUGAAACUACCAGACUGGAGUGCAGGAGAGGUAAGUGGAAUUCCUAGUGUAGCGGUGAAAUGCGUAGAUAUUAGGAGGAACACCAGUGGCGAAGGCGGCUUACUGGACUGUAACUGACACUGAGGCUCGAAAGCGUGGGGAGCAAACA